rnacentral:misc_RNA from 1 species
UUGACCCCACUGAUUCAAUUUCUUGGCUCCAUCUCUACAUCCAACACUCAUACUGAGCUAAUAUAACACAAAAGAUGACAACAACAACAAUGAUAACUACUUGUUUUCUUAGCUCUUAUCUUUAGUGGAUGACAGUUUCUAUUACUACAAUUUUUAUGACUAAAAUUUUCUGUUCCAAAUCUGAAGCAUGCUUUUUCUCCCGUAUUUGUCAUUUUGCUCUUUUUCAUCCAUGCUUGUAUGUUUUUUCAAUUAAUUAAUUAAUUCUUUUAUCCAGUGGCAAAGGAGACAGAAUUUG